rnacentral:rRNA from 1 species
UACGUAGGGGGCUAGCGUUGUCCGGAUUUAUUGGGUUUAAAGGGUGCGUAGGCGGUUCUGUAAGUCAGUGGUGAAAUACUCCAGCUUAACUGGAGGGGUGCCAAUGAUACUGCAGAACUUGAGUACAGAUGAGGUAGGCGGAAUUGACGGUGUAGCGGUGAAAUGCAUAGAUAUCGUCAAGAACACCUAUAGCGAAGGCAGCUUACUGGGCUGUAACUGACGCUGAGGCACGAAAGUGUGGGGAUCAAACAGG